CAUUAUAAAACAUAAAUCAAAACCAUGGAAGGAAAAUUAUCAUCCAUUAAUCAAUGAAAAUAGCACAAUCAUUUUUGCUUAAUGAAAGAAAUUUGUAAAUUAAGUUUAUAGUAUGUAUGUAAUUUGUAAAGCUUGCGUGGAGAAUCUCUUAUCAAUAUCAAUAAUUAACAUCUUUGGAUGGUCUUCAAGCAUCUCUUCUUAAUUUAUCAAAUUCUCCUGACAGAUUGGUACUCGUAUUGGCUUAAGUUACUACACUUUUAAAUAGUCAUCGUCCUGCAUGUAUUUUGAUGUACCAGACGUCAAGAAAAAAAAAAAAGAAGUUGAUUACUAAUAUUCUUCUUUUUGUAACUUCAAUACUAUUAUACUAGCAUCUUGAAUCUGGAAAGCAUGAAGAACUCAACAUAUUGCUCCAUUUUAUUGGUCUUAUGCUUUCUUCUGGCAUCAGAGACAUGUAUAAGAGUUAGCAUGGGCAUAUCAUGUGGAUACAUAGGCAAAUGCACACAAGAUGCAUGCAACAAUGUAUGCGCAGGAAGUGGAUCGGGCACUCCCAAAUGCGUCUCAGACACUAAUUGCUGCUGCCUUGCUGUUACUGAUCAGCACCACCGUCGCAUUACAUCGUCUCCAAGUUCCUAAUUAAUACUUCAUUUCUUAAUACACUCUUUCCUUUUUUUCUUGUAAUCUACUCCCUACAUUAAUAAACCAAUAAUUAGCUGUAUAUUACUAAACUUUCGUCAUACGAUAUAUACAAGUUUCUUCUAAAAGCAAAAAAUUCAUUACUUGCUAUGUCAA